rnacentral:lncRNA from 1 species
UGGGGACCUUGGUGCUCUGCCAAGGGUCCCUUUUAGUGGCUUCUGAGAAAUCUCAGAAGGGGUUUUGUGUUGUAGAUGAAGAAUUACAGAUCUGGCUAAAACUCCUACUUAGCUGAGGGCUUGAAAAACAGAAAGAUACAGUGAUUUUCCCAAAGCUGCACAGCAGAUAGAGCUGAGAAUCUGCCAGUUUUCUAGUGUUCCUAGUGCUUUGUGUAUCACAUGAUCGUAUCACAUUACUGACACUGGCGCUUGCUGAGGAUCAGCUGGGGAGAGAUAACGCUGGUGUCUGUAAGCCACAAAGCACUCACACCUCUUGGCUGGUGAUCCACUGGCCAAAGUUGGAAUUCACUUGCCAACACCAGGGCAUACGCAAGAGGAACUGGCCACUGCUGACCAGUGAACCUGCCACCGAAUCUUGAUGAAAGGUUCCCACUACAUUUGCAGAACAGAUGCUGAGACCAAGGGAUCAUAUUUUACUGUAAUGGAAGCCGUCCGAAUGUAUGCCUCACCCAUCUGUCUUCUCUCAAGUGUAACAAAAGGAUAUCAAAGUAGUCACAUCACUUCCAAAGCCUUCCUCUGAAGUCCCUCCUGCCUUCAGAAGAUUGGGGAUGUCAGAGUGAGAGCUAUAAGCACUCCAGAAGAAUUGUGUCCCAAAGCACGUCUUCCUGAGGGUCAGAACAUCACAGGCCCUGGCUGGAACAGACCCUAGAGUUGGCUGAUCAGUGCGGUCAUCUUAUAACCAGAAAGCAGCCUCGGGAAGGUUGGCAGCCAUCAAGACCACAAGCUACUCAGUGGUGUAGCCGGGAUUAGAACCCAGAUCUUUUGGUACCUCUGCCAGGAAGUUUUCCCUAUCCUGGAAUUAUCGGCUUUUCUCAGAAAGGAAGAGGUCAGUCCUCUUCAUCAUGAAAACCACAGUGGAAAGACAAGAAGGAAAUAAGCCAAAAUGUGAAUACUGUUCUGUUUGACAUAGAGAUGACAUUUCGGUCCUAAUUCUAUUUUUCUGCAUUGGCCAAAAUGUCUACAAAGGGCAUAUACUGCUUUUACGCCAGAAAAAAAAAAUUACUUUAAAAAUGAGGGGAUAAAAAAAAGCAGAAGGUGAAGUACAUACCCUAGAAAGCAUCAUCUAUGUGGCUCCUAGUCAUUGAUCCAAAUAAGCAGAACUAAUAAAAUGCCAUGACAUUUCCCUGUGCCAGGGGAGACAUCAGGCUGUGAGCAAGGAUGACUCAUGGAGGCAGUGGGGAGACCUCCCUACUGGCUGCCCGUGGGACGUCAGCUCUCUUUCAUAGGCUUCACUUUGCUGUGCCUUCACCCACAGACUGGCAAGGAGCAGAGGCCUGCUUCGUUACCUCUGGUGAUUUCCUC